GUCCGGGAAGGGCGCCCGGCACUCGGGGCACGCCUUCUCGCGGCGGCUCCACCCGUCCCGGAUGCAGGCCCCGCAGAAGUUGUGGCCGCAGGGCAGCGUCACCGGGUCCUCGUAGAGCUCCAGGCAGAUGGCGCAGACCCUCUCUCUUUCCAGCAGCUUCCAAGCAGGGGACCCGGUCCCAGCCACUAGAGACGGGAAUCCCAGUGGGCUACCGGCCUCCCCCUGGCAUCAUCUGGAACCUUCAUCUGAAAAGCUGAUACCACCACCGCGGCCAACCUCCCAGGCGUUUUAGCGACCGGAUGAGAGCCCUGGGAGCGCCCGGCAGUGAGCGGGGCAACUCAGCCUGCGCUUGUUAGAUGCUCUCUCCUGCCCCGCGGGGCUCCGCUGCCCUUCUCCCUGGGGCUGAGUUUCAGGCAUUUGCCACACCAGGACGUCUCCCUUCUCUUGGCUACGCGUAAACAGCGAAGUGGAAAUUUCUGGUCACCAACAGACCAGCCCCGUGGUUUUUUUCACACCCCCUCAACGGAAACCGAAAAGCACUCUUCGACUGCACUCGGAACCCCCUCUCUAGGCCGUAGUGGAACUUCACUUUUCUAUUUUU